AACUAUAGUAACGCCACAAGCGUACUAUGUUUGAUCUUUACGAUCAGCUUUUGGUAUGGUGCUUCGUCAAAUACAAAACUUAGAUUUGAUGUAUUGCAGAGUAUUGAAAUAUAGAAACGCAUUGUCAAU
rnacentral:ncRNA from 1 species